AGUGCCCAGUAGAAUCGCUCUAUAAGCAUUUUUAUGCCGAAUAUGUGCCCAACCAAUAUAUAUUCCAUCAAUGGUUCGAGGCCUUUUUGUCUCACUUUAAUUCUUGAUUGGUUUUAUUCUUGUUUCCUUUUGAUUUUUGAUUGGAUCACUUUAAGAUGAUUUUCUAUUGGGACGUGUUCGUGUUAUUGUUGUUGCUUGCUAAUAGAAUACAAUUGUGCCUUUUUUUUUUUGGUCUUUUUGAAAAAAAAAAUUUCUUAUUUCCCCAGUUUGUUACAGUAUUUUUUGUUAUGUAUAAUAGGUGGCAUGGUGUCGCCCCAGCACCAACAAAAGGUAUCUUAGGCAACACUCGUCUUUAUUGGACCGGAACAAUGUUAUAUGCACCAAAACAAAAAUUUCAAAACAGUUAUAUUUGCAAGUUUUUAAUUCUUUUUAUUUGGAUUCAUCACUGAAGUUGUUUUUCAUAUCUUUCUUAGUAUUUGAAGAAAAUGUUUUAUAGUUAGUGGUUCAUGGGUCGAUGGACACUUUUCUAUGAGAACGCGAUAGUUCUUACAACUUAAUAUUCUCUUUGAUUAGGUGAAAGGAAGUGAGCUUAAGAUACGUUCUCUUAGGUGUGGCAAAUUAAGGUUUCUCUUGUCUCGUAACAUUAAAUAUUAAUUUGAUAAUUAAUAACAUAUUUUGAUAUUUAUACUCUACUAACAACAGGAUUUUCCUGAGUUUUAUCAUUUUGCGUAUCAAAAUAUCUUCACACAAAAUAUAAAAUCACAUAUCUUUAGUUUAAUUUUAUUUCCUGCAAAAGACGAAAAAGUGUAACAAAAGUCAUUUAGCAUUCUUCAAACUUACCGAAAUUGACUCCACCGAAAACCCACUACCCACCUAAUCUUCAUCAAUAUUCUCCCUCCGAAUUAAAAGAAAGAAAAACGAUUAUAUAUAUUUGUAUUCAAAUGUCUGCUUUCUAUUUGUUAUUAGGUAAUGAUUUGAUUGAUUGGUUAAAGAUUUCUUCGAAACACUAGUUGAUGCGAGACAGAAUGUGACCAAGUUAAUUUUCGAUCAAAACAUCCACCAGAGUGGAGGUAUAGGUGUGUGAGUGUGUCAUUAUUUGAACAAUUUGGUUGUAAUCGACCGAACACCAAACACUUUACUCGGAUUGGCGUCUGCGUCUCGAGUCCCAUUACAAGGGAAAAUUGUAGCCACAUCUCAAUCAUCAGAUGGGUUUAUUUGAAAGCUAUGUCUAUGGGUUUAUUUUAAAUGUGCACUCAAAAAAUUAAUUGAAGUGAUCACGUUGUAACUUGUACGCCUGUAUCUGAGGCCACGUUGUAACGGGCAUGUGUUAUUGUAAAAGGCCCGAAUUUCUUCAGAGCUUGGACUAAGUCCAUCCCAACAUUUAAACCCAAAGUGCAUGGCUGAAGCCUUUACGAUCCUUUGUUCAUUCACUCAUUCUACUGGGCUAAAAAAAUUGGGAAUCCUAUUGUAGAAUUUUUUUUCUUAUGCGCAAUCAAUUAAAUAAUUUUCGGAUAAAGUUUUCAUCUAACUAUCUAAAUGAGCAUUAGCAUCAGAUUUCAUUUUCUCAGAAAAAGUUUUUUAAAAUGAUUUAUUAAUGUACGUUAGUAAAAUCCUGCAUAUAUACGAAAUGGAUUCAGGUUACACCUAGUAUAACUCUAAAGAGUUACAUCUUUUCUAAAUCAUUGGAUUUAAGUAGAUUUAACAGUAAAAAAAAAAAAAAAAAAAAGCCUUAUUAAUGCUAAUAUUUUGAUUGAUCUCAUUUAUUAUUCAUUGUUUAUGACAUUCUAUACUUAUCUCUAAACUCAAAAAAAGUGUAUACGCACUUUUCUAUCUCUCCCUUUCUCUCUUUCUCCUUCACUGCUCUUCCACCUCCAUGGCCGGGACAAUGGUAGGAAAAAAAAAAAAAAAAAAAGCCACAACAGCCAAAUAUAUUUGUAGCUACAUGUUUAAAUUAACCUUGAUGAGAGGGAACUUUGAUUUGCAACUAAUCCUAUAAUCUUGACUGUGGUUACUUUUUUUUUUUUUUUUUUUUUUUUGAGUAAUAGACACAUAUUCAGGUUAUUUGUAGUAAUGGUAGGUCCAGGUUGCUUGUAGCAACCUUUGAUUUGCAACUAAUCCUACCAAUGACACAUGUUUAUGUCCAAUGACCUUGCCGGAAUCACUUUGACUGUCAGGCCAUAACCUUAUUGUUUGAUCGUGAUGGUAUGUAAACCUUUAUUGCUUAUAGCUGAAUGUGAAAGACUUAAAACAAACACUUCAUGACGGCUGUGGCUUUUUUGUGGAGAGAGAAAGAAAUGUGCACAAACACUUUUUUUUUUUUUUUUUUUUUUGUUGGUAUAAUAUAGAAAUUCUAUUUUAGUCUAAUCUAAGUGUAUAUGUGUGUGAAGCUCUCUCCUAGAGACUUGAACCUUAGUCUUUGCCUCCUCUCCCACACCCCACAAACACUUAUACUUGUAAAGUGACCAUCGCAUCAAAGGUGUGCGGUGGUUUAAAGAUAAGUAUGGAAUGUCAUAAAUAAAGAAUAAUAAAUGAUAUCAAUUAGAAUAUUAGCAUUAAUGAGUGUUUUUUUUAAUCGUUGAAUUCACUUAAAUCUAAUAGUUUAGAAAAUAUGUAACUUGAACUCAUCUCGUGACAUGUAAAAUCUUCACCUAGUGCAUCCGAUGAAGGUCCAUUGUUUAUUGAACAGUGUUUAUUACAAACAAAUUAUUUUCUACAGUUUUACACACAUUUUAAAAAGCAAAUGAAAUCUUGAUUCAUGACUUGAAAUCACGAUCCUAGUUGCUAUUUGGGGUGUGUAUAAAACUGUGUAAAAUAAUUUGCGUACAACAAGUUUGGUCAUUGUUUAUUUUUUAUAUGGGUCCAGUUAAUGUAUGUCUUUAAGAAAUACAUUAACUAUCGAUUUAGGAAAUUUUUAUUUAUUUAUAGAGAAUUGAAAAAAACUGUUAAAAAAUUAGUCAUCUUCUUGUUUCCCAUAAAAAGUUUUAUAAAAUGGUUUAUUAAUGUACAUACAUGAGUAAAACCCUUCAUAUAUAUAUAUAUAUAUAUAUAUAUAUAUAUAAAGAUGAUGAAAGAACCUAUGAUCGAAGUAGGUUAUGACUUAUCAAGUAUGAACUAUGGAAACGAGGAUUUUGUUUUUAUUAUUAAUAUAUUGCAGGCAGCCGGUGUAGAGUCUAUACAGUUGGGAGUGGAUAAACUCAAAGAAGGUGUGUCACUCUCAGUUGAGCUGGGAUCCAUAUAUAGACUGUCUUGGAUUCAUUAGAGCCUACACAACCUGAUGCUGCAACUGCAAGACCAACUAUGAAACCUCCUCGUCCACCGCACAUGAUAUCUUUUUCUAAUCCUAAUAAGAGAAAAUCAUUGGCUUAGGACCACUUUGAUAAGUUUAUUGAUGAGGAAGGUAAAACUAAGGUAAGAUGUAGAUAUUGUAGCAAAGAGUACAUGGCUGAUAGCAAAGUUUAUAGGACAUCUAAUUUAAAAUCCCAUACACCCAUUUGUCAUGAUUAUCUUUUUAAUGAAUUACAUGAUAGACAAAACCCAUUGUCCAAGGAUGUAGAGGAGGGAAAUCUAGUGCCUAGGACUUUUACAAAUGUUGUGGGUAGAAAAGCUCUUGCUGAGAUGAUAAUAUUGGAUGAGCUUCCAUUUAGGUUUGUAGAGAAUCAAGGAUUCAAAAGGUUUUGUAAUGUCUUCUAAACUAAUUUUAAUAUCCCAUCUUGCUUCAUGGUAGCUAAUGAUGUGAGUCGGAUUUAUUUUGAGGAAAAUGAAAAGUUGAGAAAUGCCUUGAGAGGCCAUAGGCCUUGCCUUACCACUGACACAUGGACUUAAAUACAAAAUUUUAAUUACAUAUAUCUUACUUGUCAUUUCAUAGAUGAUGAUUGGAAGCUGCAUAAAAGAAUUUUGAAUUUUUGUAUUGUUGAUAACCGUAAGGGGAAAAUCAUUGGCAGAAUUGUUGAAUCUUGUUUAGAAGAGUGGAAUAUUGAGGGGAUUUUCACCUUGACAGUGGAUAAUGCUUCCUCAAAUAAUGUAGCCAUUAGUUACUUGAAAGAUACUACAAACAUGUGGUAAGGUAUUGUUUUGGGGAAUAAAUUUGUUCACGUAAGGUAUUGUGCUCACAUCUUGAAUCUUAUUGUGAUUGAUGGCUUAAAACAUCAUAAUAAGUUAAUUGAUAAGGUGUGUUAUGCGGUUAGAUAUGUGAAAACUUUUCCAAAUAGGUUACAAACCUUCAAGAAAUGCGUGGAGAAAGUGAACAUAGAGUCAAAGGCUAUCUAUGUUUGGAUGUGGCCAAUAGAUGAAACUCUACCUAUAAAAUGUUAGAAAAUGCUGAAAAGUUUGAACAUGCAUCAAGCGGAUAGAAUAUAAAGAUCUUGAUUAUAUUCCACACUUUCGAGAUAGGGACUAUGAUAGAAGACCUCCAAAUGAGGAUGAUUGGGAGACUUGUAGAAAAUUUGUUAAGUUUUUGAAACUUUUUUUAUAAUACUACAAAAAGGUUUUCAAGUUCCUUGUAUGUGACAUCAAAAACUUUCUUUGAUGAGAUAUAUAUGAUUAAAAAAUAGAUAGAUCUAUUUUCUAGGAGUGAGCACCAUUUUUUGUACUCAAUGGCAAACAAUGAAAGAGAAGUUUGACAAGUAUUGGGGGACUGAGGAGGAUUCAUCAAAGAAGGGAAAUGUCAUUUUGUAUGUUGUAGUGGUGCUUGAUCCUUGAAAGAAGUUGGAUUAUUUGAAUUGUUGUUUAUCAAAUUUGUAUGGGGAGAAUGUUGCAAAGUAUAUCACUGACCUUGUGAAAGGUGUAUUGGAACGCUUGUAUGAGUAUUAUAAUUCUACUCAUUCAUCAUUUGUGUCUAUACAAAGUGCGAGUGAGACAUCAAGAAUGGAAGGUGAUGAUGAUGAUGAUGAUGAUCCAGAGAGAUUUAUUGCCUCUCAAUACAAGGCCUUUAGACAAGGAAAACAAUCUGUUGGUUGUAUAGAUGAGGUUGAAAAAUACUUGAUAGAGAAUUGUGAAGGUGAAAAUGAAAAAACCUUUAAUAUACUAGCUUGGUGGAAGUAUAAUACUGGUAAGUAUAGUAUAAUAUAGUAUAGUAUUCUAGUAAGUAUAGUAUACUAUACUAGUAAGUAUAGUAUACUAUCUCGUAUACUAGAUUCAUUCCGUAGUUCACUUGCCCAUGAGAUGGUACAAUCUCUUAUAUGUACUCAAAAUUGACUUCAAUCUUCAGUGCAAAUUUCGCUUUGACAAGCCAUAGAUGAUGUUAAGCUAUUUGAGGAUUAUGGAGAAGAUAAUGUUCUUAAAAUUUAUUAACUUGUGCUUUAACUGAAAUUUGAUAUAUAUUGUUAGUGCAUUAAAUGAAAUUUAAUAUAUCUUGUUGUUCUAAAAUGUUUUGAAGCUUUUUUGGAAGUGAAGUUAGCUUCACCUUUGACAGCAUCACUUUCACCAUCAAGUAUUGUUACUAAUCUUGACUAAUCAGCCAACAUACAUUGGAGCAGUUGAAUGUCUUGGUGAUGUAUAUAGGAAGAUACCGUGGAUUAUUUGUCAAAAAGGAAUUUUCUAGUCAGUUCAAAGGAUUAUAAAUUGUAAAGGAUUGCCAUGUUUUUGUAUGAGGUUCUUAAAGCUCUUGUUUAUCUUGAUGGCCAUGGACUCAUUCAUAGAGAUGCUGGGAAUAUAUUGGUUGGUUAAAAUGGUGAAGUUAAGUAAGCACGCUUUAGAGUGGCAGCACGCAUAUUUGAUACCAGUGAUAGACAAUGUUCAAUAAAUGCAUAUGUUGAAACUCCAUGUUGGUGCUGACUUGGACCCUGCCAAUCUCAUUAUUUGAUUGUUCAAAGGUCUACUUGUUGCAUACUCUGUUCAAGUCUAUUUUGGAGAUCUUGUUGCUCAAUAUUAACUUCUUCAUGCUUCUUAUAUUUGUAACAGUUUUCAUCCUUUUCUCAGGAAUUACAUGGAUAUAACUUCAAGUGACUGGUGAUUCAUGUACAAUAGCUCCCCCUUAUGAUCGACAUCCAUAGCUAGCCUCUAGUAGUUAAUGGUCCUAUGGUUUAGUGAGAUUCUAAUGUUUAUCAAUAAAUGACAAGAAACAUGCACUCUAUAUAUAGUAGCACUGAUUAACAAUGUGUGGUUUUGGGCUUGAAUAUGAGCAUGGUCAACACAAGUCUAGAAAAAGAAAUUGAUAGAGAUACCUUUUCAAAAUUUGAAUAAUGGCCUCAUAUUGAAGUUACAUAGUGCAGAUAUCACUGAGGCCUUUUUUAUUUAUUUAUACUAUAUGUAAAAUUAAGCUAUGUAGAAUUUAUGAGGCAUGUGACUCCUUUUUUUUAGGUUUCAUAUUAACAGAGCAUACAUUUUUCAUUUGGGAUAACAACCCUUGCACUUAAUCAUGGUCUUGCCCCAUAUUCCUAGUAUCAACCUUUGAAUGAGCUUUUACAUGCCAUCCUGCCUAAUUUCCAUAAACAGGACAGACACAUUGGAAGAAUAUAUGUGAAACCAAAUCUUCUACCACUCAUCUUUCCUUCUAUUCUUGAAGAGAGAUUUUACAAUGUUGAUAUGUGAGAAUUCAUUGACAUAGGAGUUAGGACAGAAGCUUGAAUGGGCUCUAUUACCAGGAACUUUAGGAAUUCAGAACCAAAUUAGAUUUGUUGAUGAGAGCUUGAAGGAUUCUUGAAUAAGGUUUGAUGUUUAAGGGUUUAGGUGGGGAAAAGAUUGGAUCUUGAAUAUGUUUGAUGGCUGUUUAGUAUUAAAAUAGUGAAUAGAAUGAGAAAUAAAGAAAGAUAACCACUUGGCUAUCAUACCUACGUUAUCCUAAGCAAUCACAUUUAUGUAAGAAGGCAAUCUCACCCUUAAAACUUAGAAUACCCUACUGAAAAUUUUUAUAAUCAAAGACUAGGAUUACUAAUAACAAAGAAAAUGUACUAAAGAAAUUCUGAACCAAAUAAGAAAAAGACUCCUCUUAACACAUACACAAAAGGAGACUCAUGGGCCUCUAUUAAAAGCCAAUGACAGGCCAUUCCAGAAUUCUGGAAAUUACCAAAUUGCUCUUAUUCUAGUAAAACUUAAUAAAAUGAAACUAACAACUUUCCAACCUAAAAACUUAAUAUACUAAGACUCAAUAAUAACAAAAAUAGCCUAUCAAGUCUUUUACUGAUGUCUUGUAUGCUUAGCUACUUGAUCAACGCAGGUAAUGUUGAUGACCUUACAAAAUGCACUGCCUGGUCCUGAGUAUGAAAGGGACAGGAGGUUGUCAAAGCUGUGUGCCAUCUAAUUGUAACUUGCUUGAAGCUCUGCAUAUCAUUUCAGAUUUAAAGUUGUAUAUGUAGCCACUGCAAGGGAGAGAGUCUUACAAGGCUACAAGCUCAGGUGAUCUAGAUGCAACAACAGUGUGAGAAACACCAGUGUCUUGCUAUAUAUGUUCCAUAAUGGUAAUUCUUGUUCGAACUGUCACUUCUCUCCGUGUCGGCCUUGAUAAACUUGUUGAAGAGUUGCAGAGACAGAAGAUAAACAAUGCCGUGGUAUGUAGCCAUCAUUGAAAGAUUAUCCCUGGUAAAAUUCAUAGAUUAUUAGUAGUAACUAUGCUUACCUACAUUAAGAGCUUGUUAUAUGAAUAUUUCAACUUUUUCAUUGGUUGAGAUUUAGAUGGCAUUACGUAUUAGGGAACAGGUUUUCACUAGGGACAGCAUUAGAACAGAUUUUAUAUCUAUAGGAGCCUUUGGGUCACUUGUGUAUAAGGGAUUAUAUUUUGAUUUUGAUUUUUUUAAUGUUUAUACAUGAAAAAAUCUCCUGUGUGUUCUCAAAUUCAAAUGCAUAAAUACAUAUUGUAAACUAAAAUAUUCAAUGGAUAAU